UAGCUCUGUAUUCCAAGUUAUCCAGGAAUCGCCGACGAAGAUUGAUCGUGUAUUCGGCAAAGAAAGAUGCCGAAAAAAAUGGGAGUGAAUAGUAAAGCCGAGACGUCUAGGGCUCGGAAGAACGCCGUCGAAUCGGAGCGCAAAGACCGUGAAUCCCGAGAAAAAGAAGACCAGUAUUGGCGCGAGGCGGAAGGAGCCAAGCCACGCGCCGCCAAGAAACGUGAAGAAGAAGCCGAGAAGCGAGCAGAGGCCGCAGCAAAGAAAGCCGAGGUGCGUCGGCUUGCCGAGUUAGAGGAGAAAGAACUCGAGAAGUCGAUUAAGAAGCCGGAUAAGAAAGCCAAUCGUGUGUCCGCUCCGGUACCAAAGGUUACUGAGGCAGAACUAAGGCAGAGGAAGGAGGCGGAGCAGGCAGCAUUGGCAAAGAAGGCGGAGGAGGACAAGAGGAGGCAGAGCCGUAUGGCGGCAGAGGAGGAGUAUGAAAAGAUGGUGCUCGUAACCAAUAGGAAUCGUGAUGAUUCAAUUAUAGAGGCUAGCACUGUGGAUGAUGCCAUUGCUCACUUGGCUAUUUCAGAUAGUUUGCCACCGGAUAGGCAUCCCGAGAAGAGACUCAGGGCUGCCUUUAAGGCUUUUGAGGAGGCUGAGCUUCGUGCUCUGAAGGAGGAGAAACCAGGACUGACACACACUCAGUACAAAGACUUGAUUUGGAAGCUAUGGAAGAAAUCUCCAGAUAAUCCUCUUAACCAGGUCGCAGAUAAGUCAUAGGUACACUUUGUGCUGAUGUGGCUGCAAUAGUCCUAUGAGCUGAGAAAGGUGUGCUGUGGUGUGGAUAUGUUGAUGGUCUAUUGCGUGACCUGGUUGGUGUUGACAGUCUUCUGCGAAAGAUGUCUGGUUGGGGUUUGGUUAUAGCAAUUGCUUCUUGUUCAAGUGUAAUGCUUCCUAAUUAGAUACUAUACCCCCUCUGUAUUAUGACAAUUGAUGUCUGCACCUUGGUACUCGUGAUGUUCUUCCUUUGUUUAACAGUAAAUAACAUACUUGAAUAAGUCCUCUGUAUUUGACCGUGAAUAAUGCAAUCAAUGCUUUUCAGUAGCCG
rnacentral:misc_RNA from 1 species